ACACGGCUAAAAAAAACCUGCCAAAACUAAAACAUGACUCGCUCAUAAAAAACAAAAACAUGCCUGGCUCAGACCCUCCUCAUCCUGUGUGGCUCCCUCGAUUGAUCCCAAAUCCCCAAUUAAUCCCACCGCCGCCUAGAGCACAAGAGCGGGCAGCGGCAGCCUGCGAACGCCAAGUACGGCGUGACCAGCCAGGUGGGCCGGUAGAGGAGUGCCGAGAUUGUUAUCCAGGACGAUUGGACGAAGAGGGAGCAAAUCUAUGAGUGAAAGGGAUAAGGGAAGGGAAGGAAUGCAAAAUGAAAGACUUGCAGUAGCUUCCCAGGCACCAAACUAAACCCAUCUCAUCCAUGGGGUUUCUUGCAAGAGUUUAGGACAUGGUUGGAGGAACCAGAAGCUUGUGCAUUUCUGACACAGAAGGCAUUAACUACUCAUCUACAUCGAUAUAGACAGGGUGAUCUCGGCGAAUGAUGUGGACGUUCAUGAGCUUGGCUUCCCAAGUGUGGUUCUUCCCAGGCACUUGAAGCCUCAUCCACUGCUCCUCGCGUGGAAGAUGAUCAUCAGCGUAUCCCUGUUCGAUGUACUGAGUUGCACAUUCACAAGGUAGGAUGUUAAGUUGUCAACAGAUCAAAUAAGCAAACACAUGCGUCCUUACCAAGAAAGAGGAAACUGCAUGGAUCGAGCACAACUUACCAGCUUGGCACGGCAGCUAGGCAUGAUGGACACGAAUAUUUUGGUUUCUGGCUGAAUAACAAGGAGCCUCUCUUUGAUUUUUCUCUUCUGCUGCCAAGUCAGUUCGGUGCAUCUGGUAACCACAUACCCCGUGUCAGUGCGAGUCACUUUCAUCUUCUUCCGGCUAGCUGGUUUAAGAUGAUAGACUAUUAUUGCCACUCCACCAUCGCUCUUUGACAUUUCAAAUGCACAGAUAUCGCCUUCCUGCAAUUUGUUGUCGCGAACAAAGCAGGGCCAACCAGAAAAAAUGAUACAAGAAAGGAUGCAUGCUCCAUCAGUGAUAACCUUCAAAUUGGCAUCCCAUGUUUUGCUGUUCUGAGGAUGACAAAGUUUGAUAAUCUGGUCUUGAUGAGGAAGGUGAUUGGCAGCAUACUCCUUACGGAUGACCUAUUACAAAUGAAUGAUCUGGCUGAUGAAUUAUCUCAAACCAUAAUUUGCAGAGAGCUAGUGUUUCAACGAUUCGAACAAAGUUCUAGCAAGAUAUUCUGAAUUCUGUUUUCUGAACAUGGUGUUCAUUCAAAUAAAUAAAUAAUCAAAGCAUUGUACAGUAAUCAAAACAUACUGUAAACCUACCAGAAAUCCAUCAGAUAGAUUUUUCUCGUUCAUGGCUGUGACAUAAAAUUGAAUUCCAUUCCGAUUUUCGUUCAAAAAUGCAUCAACUCUUGCCUUCUGGGCACUAGUCAGUUUACAACCCAUUUCUAAAAUGUAAUGUGAUUCGGUAGACCCCCGAAGGCCACCUGAACUGCUGGGUUCCUGAAUAUCUUUUGGAAAUGUUACAUCUUCAGCUGUGCAACAUCAAUCAUGAAGGCAGAAAUCAGAAUAAAAAGUAAAUUAAGAAAAUCUAAAACAAAACAUCAAUAGAAAUUCAUACUCAACUGUUCAAUACUGAACUUGAUUUCUGUGAACUUGAGUAUGCUUGAUUUAUCUUUGAAGUUCUGCAACUGUCACUUGUACCGUCGUUCCGGCUUUCUUUUUUGGUGGGUAGUGAUUGAUCAUGAAAAAUGUCCCUCUCUUGGAGAUUAGGACCACAGCUCAUGAUAACACAUGAAAGCUCGUUCUCGCAGCCACUUGGUUUAAAGAUUUUUACUUUGAAGUGGGAGUCCCCACUGUAUGUAAAGACUAGGAAGUCAUUUUGUUUAAGUUCAUACGCACUGGCAAAGUUUGCCCACCCUGAUCCAAAAACUAACUUAUGCUGUUCCCUGGCAACCUGAACAAUAUAAAUUUUACCAUCUGGGACUUCUAGUUUGAGUUCAUCAGAUGUGUGACCUCUGAAAUUAGUUGCGAACUUUGGUGGUAUGGCCUGCAUGAAGAAAUAAAUCACAAAGGAUCUUUGACCAGAAAAUGACCACAUACGAGGCUAAGUGAUUGCUAGUCCAUCUUCAUGCCUAUAUAAUUCACUGCAAAGAAAACUAAGAGCACACAUGCUUCUGUAAUAUAAAAAAGGGCAGCCCGGUGCAUGUAGCUCCCGCUUGCACACAUGCUUCUGUAAUAUCUAUUAUCAAAUUUUGGUUAUCUAGGUAAGUAUACUUUGUGGCUUCGUGCAAUUAAUUCUCAAAAGAAGUAUAUUUAAUGUAACCCAAAUGGUGCUCAAACUCCUAAAUUCGUCAUCAAGAUUAUCAAAUUACUAGCAGUGUUACUCAGUUUUUUGCAAAACUAUAGUUGUGAAAACUGCAGGAGGUAUAUUUGGUGCACAAGAAACACUGUAAUUGGCAAGGUCUUACCAUUUCAUCUUGAAAUUACCCAGAGUCAUAAUUUUGAAGAAAGACCAGUCAUGAUCUUUCAUGUGCCAAUAAUGGUGACCAACACAUUCUGUGCAUACUACACACGGUUUCUUCAUCCUGUCAUCAUCUUGUCCAGGCCUGCCAUAUCAGUUGAGAUGAAAUUGUUAGAAUAUUGAAAUCAAAAUCCACACACACGGACAACCAUUUUGAGACAAACUUUGACCGUCGAUUGGACCUACAUCAUAUGAGUUAUAUGCCCACCAAAAAUAUUCCACUCCUUGCAAACAAGUUUCCAGUGGUAUAAUUUUUAUGGUAUACUCAUACAUUAUUCGUUUAACUGAUGGUCAAAGCAAAUAACAAAAUAUGCGCAGACCUUGCAAACCUGAACAUAGGGAGAUGGCAUGACGAGUGAACAAAGUUAUACUUAUUGGUCCUAGGAACACAAAAUGCAACUAAAGUUAGUACGGACCUUUCUCUAUGUGAUUGCAAAGGACUAUCAUGACAAAUGUCCCUUUCCUCGGCAUUAGGACCACAGCUCGUCAUAACACAUGCCAACUCUUUCUCGCAACCAUUUGGUUUAAAGAUUUGAACUUUGAAAUGGGAGUCUCCACUGUAUAUAAAGACUAGGAAGUAACCCUGUUCAAGUUCGAAAGCACAAGCAAACUUCGUCCACCCUGACUGAAGAACUAACUUCUCCUGUUCCCUGGCAACCUGAACAUUAUAAAUUUUACCAUUUGGGACUUCUAGAUUGACUUCAUCAGAUAUGUCACCCUAUGUUUUUAAGGCGGUAAAGCGUCAUAAGGCGGAGGAGGGCCGCUCUGACGCCUAAGCGCCAAGGCGAGGCGGUAAGGCGAGGCAAGGCGACGCCUUAAACAUUGCAGGAAAAGAGUCAUCAAUAGGUCUGCACAUAUUAAUACUAGAAAAAGAGCAAUGGCUGAGAGAUGGGCCACUACUUAUGCACCUCCCAGUGGCCCAAAAGCCCAUCUAGUGGCCAUAUACACCCCCGUGAC